rnacentral:rRNA from 1 species
GAUGAACGCUGGCGGCGUGCAUAACACAUGCAAGUCGAACGAUGAAGCCCAGCUUGCUGGGUGGAUUAGUGGCGAACGGGUGAGUAACACGUGAGUAACCUGCCCUUAACUCUGGGAUAAGCCUGGGAAACUGGGUCUAAUACCGGAUAGGAGCGUCCACCGCAUGGUGGGUGUUGGAAAGAUUUAUCGGUUUUGGAUGGACUCGCGGCCUAUCAGCUUGUUGGUGAGGUAAUGGCUCACCAAGGCGACGACGGGUAGCCGGCCUGAGAGGGUGACCGGCCACACUGGGACUGAGACACGGCCCAGACUCCUACGGGAGGCAGCAGUGGGGAAUAUUGCACAAUGGGCGAAAGCCUGAUGCAGCGACGCCGCGUGAGGGAUGACGGCCUUCGGGUUGUAAACCUCUUUCAGUAGGGAAGAAGCGAAAGUGACGGUACCUGCAGAAGAAGCACCGGCUAACUACGUGCCAGCAGCCGCGGUAA